rnacentral:rRNA from 1 species
GUACACGCUGUGACUAGCAUAUCAAUAAGCGGAGGAAAAGAAACUAACAAGGAUUCCCUUAGUAACGGCGAGUGAAGCGGGAAGAGCUCAAAUUUGAAAUCUUCAAGGUUUUACCUUGACGAAUUGUAGUUUAAAGGAGUGUUUUCUGCUGAAGUUUUGGUAAAAGUUCUUUGGAAUAGGACAUCAUAGAGGGUGAGAAUCCCGUAUUUGACCAUUAUUUUCAGCAUUGUGAUACACUUUCAAAGAGUCGGAUUGUUUGGGAAUGCAGUCCAAAGUGGGUGGUAAAUUUCAUCUAAAGCUAAAUAUUGGCGAGAGACCGAUAGCGAACAAGUACCGUGAGGGAAAGAUGAAAAGAACUUUGAAAAGAGAGUUAAACAGUACGUGAAAUUGUCAAAAGGGAAGCGUUUGACACCAGUGUUGUUUUCUCGAAAAUCAAUUAAAAAUGGCUCGAUUUUGUAUUGCUUGAGACCUUAAAAGCUCACUGUACAUUUUUCGUGUCUUUUUUAAUGCACUUUUCGUUUAACAAGUCAACAUCAGUUUCUUUUGUUGUAAAAGGGUCAUUGGAAGGUGGCUUUCUUUUCGGAGAAAGUGUUUAUAGCCUUUGGCCUCUGCAAUCGAAGAGACUGAGGUCUGCAGCGUAGACUCUUCGGGGUUAGAUACAUUUGUGCUAAGUUAUAGCUUUUUAUAGACAACUUGUUGACUAUAAUUAGUCUUGUAGCUUACUCGCUUAUGCUAUUUUACCUACGCUUAGGAUGUUGAUCUACAGAGCGAGAGU